rnacentral:tRNA from 1 species
GAACUUGUAGCAUAGUGGUUUGAACAUUGGACUAUGUCUCCUGAGACCAGAGUUCAAGUCCCUGCAUGGCCA